AUUGUACGCUGGCGGAAUGCUUUACACAUGCAAGUCGAGCGGCAGCGCGGUCUUCGGACUGGCGGCGAGCGGCGAACGGGUGAGUAAUACAUCGGAACAUGCCCAGUCGUGGGGGAUAACACUUCGAAAGAAGUGCUAAUACCGCAUACGUCCUGAGGGAGAAAGCGGGGGAUCGCAAGACCUCGCGCGAUUGGAGUGGCCGAUGUCAGAUUAGCUAGUUGGUGGGGUAAAGGCCUACCAAGGCAACAAUCUGUAGCUGGUCUGAGAGGAUGAUCAGCCACACUGGGACUGAGACACGGCCCAGACUCCUACGGGAGGCAGCAGUGGGGAAUUUUGGACAAUGGGGGCAACCCUGAUCCAGCCAUUCCGCGUGAGUGAAGAAGGCCUUCGGGUUGUAAAGCUCUUUCGGCAGGAACGAAACGGCGAGCUCUAACAUAGCUCGCUAAUGACGGUACCUGAAGAAGAAGCACCGGCUAACUACGUGCCAGCAGCCGCCGUAAUAC
rnacentral:rRNA from 1 species